rnacentral:sRNA from 1 species
AUCAAGUCUAUAUUUUGUGUUUAGGAGAUCGUGAGUCAAUGUUUUGUGUUUAGGAGAUCGUGAGUCAAGUCUAUGUUUUGUGUUUAGGAGAUCGUGAGUCUAUGUUUUGUGUUUAGGAGAUCGUGAGUCAAGUCUAUGUUUUGUGUUUAGGAGAUCGUGAGUCAAGUCAAUGUUUUGUGUUUAGGAGAUCGUGAAUCAAGUCUGUUUUGUGUUUAGGAGAUCGUGAGUCAAGUCAAUGUUUUGUGUUUAGGAGAUCGUGAGUCUAUGUUUUGUGUUUAGGAGAUCGUGAAUCAAGUCUGUUUUGUGUUUAGGAGAUCGUGAGUCUAUGUUUUGUGUUUAGGAGAUCGUGAGUCAAGUCUAUGUUUUGUGUUUAGGAGAUCGUGAAUCAAGUCUAUGUUUUGUGUUUAGGAGAUCGCGAAUCAAGUCUAUGUUUUGUAUUUAGGAGAUCGUGAGUCAAGUCUACGUUUUGUAUUUAGGUUAAGGAGAUCGUGAGUCAAAUCAACAACAGAAUGAGUCAACAUAUGCUAUGAAAAAGCUGAAAACUGGAACCAGUGAAAUUUGUCCUUGUGGAGUGUCAAGAAUGCCGACCAAGUCCUUCAAAGCUGCACACUCUAUCGAGAAUAUCGAACUAGAUACUGGUCCCAGAACACACCUAUAUGGAGAGUUGCCCGAUCUGGAACCUACUGCUCACUUCAUCUCAGAUAUUACACUAGUCGUUUGAACUUUUUAGCAUCCUAAUGAGAACGCACAAGAAGAAGAUAUAUCUAUACUGACAUGUUGCAAUAGAAGACAAAGACUUGAAGAUUUUUUUGUAUGAAUAUGUUCAGGGAAAAGUGACUCCUAUUUCUGGUGGCAUGAUCAGACAAUUAUCCUCUCAUGCAUUCUUCUCUGUAAAUUGCAAGCUUUCACGUGCCCUGAUGAUGUGUGAGUAGGUCACAGUAAAUAUUCUUUUCAUUGAGCUGCCCCAGACACUUGACCCGUCCACUCUCACCACUCGCCGGCAGUGCUUGUGUGUGUGUGUGUGUUGGUUUCUAUUUUCAAAUAGCUUACAUUAUUCAUGAAGAUUUCAUUGAAUGCUUAACAGAAAAUAUUUUAAUAGAACUUUUUGUCUCCAGUCUCUUCGUACAGUGGUUUGAAUGCCAUAUAGAUAUGUUGGUUUUUUUUUCAUUAAUUAGUAAAUGUUUUUGGUUAAAUAUUUGGAUUUGCGCACGUCUUUAUUGAUGUGAAUCUUAAGCAGCUCAAUGUCGCCCAAACUAUGGCCCACAAGCCUACCCAGCCUGUGGCCUAAUGCAUUCUGGUCCCUUAAAAUGUGCCC